rnacentral:lncRNA from 1 species
CCUCCUCCUCCCCGCGCCCCUGGCUCCUCUUUCUUCGGUGAAAUCCCGCCCGCCGCCCCUUCCCCGGACCCCAAACCUUCACCAUGACCCGCGCGGGCCUCUUAACUACCGCCCCCGGGCCCCAGCCCCCAGUUUUCGAGCGGGAAAGGGGUGGAAAUCGCCGCCGCUUCGCACCCUGGGGUAACUCGCUUUUUGCUGCCUCCCCACAGUUGUUGCUAAGCUUCACCAUCUUGUCUCUCUUCUCUGGUCACCGACCAUAUUUUUUCCCCCGUUUCUCUCUU